GUGCUCACUUCGGCAACAUAUAUACUAAAAUCGGAACAAUACAGAGAAGAUUAGCAUGGCUCCUGCGCAAAGAUGGCACGCAAAUUCGUGAAGCAUUCCAUAUUUGA